rnacentral:rRNA from 1 species
GGGUCCGUAGGUUGGUCGUGCCACCGGUACGUACUGGUCUCACUGAUUCCUCCUUCCUGAAGAACCGUAAUGCCAUUAAUUUGGUGUUGCGGGGAAACAGGACUGUUACUUUGAAAAAAUUAGAGUGUUUAAAGCAAGCUAACGCUUGAAUACGUUAGCAUGGAAUAAUGAAAUAGGACGAUCGAUCCUAUUUUGUUGGUUUCUAGGAUUGACGUA